CUCGAGGAUAAUUCCUUAACCGAAGGGAAAGAAGGGAAGAGCGCCGGGGAGAGCUCGGCACGCGGAGUAAGUUGGCUGGAACUCCCCGUGACCGCUCAGCCGGGCGUGCAGGGCUGCAGCGGCGCAAAGCCUAUUCCAGAGCGGCCGCAGCGGCGCGGGCAGGAGGGGUACCCAGGUGGGGCCGCGCGCCCUCCGCGGGGGAUAGGUGAUCCCGCUCCCGAGUCCGAGAGGGAGCCAGGUGAGCGUCCGCCCGGGUCCGCCGGUGACCAGGUUGACAUUUCGCAAUUUUGAACUGACCCUAUGUAGUUUCAUGAGAUGUGCCUUGAAUCUCCCCAGAAGGUAACCCACACCUGUCGAGGACGGUCCCAGCGCUCCAUCUCGAUGCAGCCUCUGUUGUUAUACAGCGUGCUCAUCCGGAUAGCCAGCGAGAGGCACUCUUGGCGGCCCACCUGGAAGAGGAAGCGGGGCAGGUGCCCGCCGGCCGGGCUCCCCACGACACGGUGUGAGACCUCGGGCUACAACACGGGACCCGGGCGCUGCUCCGACCCCUCGUGUCUUGUGUUGCAGCCGGAGGGACGCAAGUCCGCAGCAGAGCCUGCUCCCCGCCGGCGCGGGACUCGGCAGCGGGAAGGAAGGGAAAAAGCUCCAACAGAGGACCCUCCAACUGGAGGUGGGAGGCAUCAAAGGCAAGCUCCUUCACCAUCUCAGCACAGGCUGGAGCUGUGGACACGGGUCCAGAGAGCUACGCGGCUGAUCCAUUUCAUUGCCUGGCCCAGCUGUGAAGUGCACAUUCUGGAUGCUAAAUGUUAUGUUUCUGAGAUCAACUUCCCUUUGAGACAAACUUUUCCAAAUAGUGGUUGAUGCAUCCUUCACGUUUAAGAAAGCGGCAUGCAGCAGGCAAAGAUAAACUGGGGCUGAGAGAGUUCUUUUUCUGCCCUGCAACCUUGAGACCAGUACUCUAAGGGUGAGCCUUCUGCUUCUGAGUUCUUGAGGAAGAUGGGAGGGGGAGAGGGGUCACCUUCCUAAGAGCUGCACUCUGGCCUAAGGGAAAGAACCUAUUUUUCAAGGCCCUGCCCCAGACUUGUAAACUAAAUCUCUUAGUUAUUUGAUAAGGGCUCUUAGCUGUUUGAAAAGGGAUGAGAAGGAGCCCCUUUGUGCCCUGGGCAUGGUCUGGACAGAGAAGAGUGGGCCAAAGGGCUCAGCUGGUGCUCAGCACAGUGAUGAAGAUACCCAGGGGAAACACUAUCCCCGCUGUCUGUUGCUAUACUGUUUUGCUUCUGGAGAUUAUUACUCAUCACUGGGAAGUGUAUGUGUGUGUGUAUGGGGCAGGGGUGGGGGAGGUGUGGAGUAUUACUGCCCAAAGACUGUUGCAGGGAACUGAGUGAAGUGGGGUUGGGGGGCUCCACCCCACCAAAGCCAUGUGUGAUAGACAUAGUGUAGGGGAAGGGCAGCCAUCCCAGAAUUCCAAGCGGCAGUCCCCGGUGGAGGAGCUGAAGGCCACGGGGGACUUAGAGCCACAUAACAAGACACCAGCAUGAGGCUGGACCAUGGCCUGCGUGAGACCAUCUCUUCUUUCAAAAUGUGAUGUGAGCUCUGCCUGGUGAGGUCAGUGUACAGUUGCCACAAGUUCUUCUAGAAUUUAAUGAAGGACUAUUCUAGAGGGAUCCAAUGAUCAUGAUAAUUAGGAAGCAUUUCCCCCCAAAACCUAUGCUAUUAAGAAAGUGAGUUAAUAUAAUAAGUAACUACUGGAAUAGAAAUCCUCCAAACCCAUGCUAUCAAGAAAGUAAUUUACAUGGGGACAGAGAGUAAAAUGGUGGUUGCCAGAGGUGGGGUGGGAGAGAAUGGGAGAUGGUCAAAAGAUAUAAGCUUCCAGUUAGAAGAUGAGUAAGUCUUGGGGCUCUCAUGUACUAGCAUGGUAACCAUAGUAACAAUGCUAUGUUACAUACUUGAAAGUUGCUGAUAGAUCUUAAAUAUUCUCACAGCACACAUAAAAGGUAAUCAUGUGAGAUGGUGGCGGUGCUAACUAACCUUAUUGUGGCAAUCAUUUGCAAUAUAUGCAUGUAUCAAGUCAUCACAUUGUAUACCUUAAACUUGUACAAAGGUAUAUGUCAAUUAUAUCUCAAUAAAGCUAGCAGGGAGGAGAAGGCA
ensembl:lncRNA